GACGAACGCUGGCGGCGUGCUUAACACAUGCAAGUCGAACGGAAAGGCCCUGCUUUUGUGGGGUGCUCGAGUGGCGAACGGGUGAGUAACACGUGAGUAACCUGCCCUUGACUUUGGGAUAACUUCAGGAAACUGGGGCUAAUACCGGAUAGGAGCUCCUGCUGCAUGGUGGGGGUUGGAAAGUUUCGGCGGUUGGGGAUGGACUCGCGGCUUAUCAGCUUGUUGGUGGGGUAGUGGCUUACCAAGGCUUUGACGGGUAGCCGGCCUGAGAGGGUGACCGGCCACAUUGGGACUGAGAUACGGCCCAGACUCAAAAGGGAGGCAGCAGUGGGGAAUAUUGCCAAAUGGGCGGAAGCCUGAUGCAGCAACGCCGCGUGCGGGAUGACGGCCUUCGGGUUGUAACCGCUUUCGCCUGUGACGAAGCGUGAGUGACGGUAAUGGGUAAAGAAGCACCGGCUAACUACGUG
rnacentral:rRNA from 1 species